GAAACGACGAUGACGAAGAUAGGCUGUGUCCCGGAAAUCCUCAGAGAGCCGAUGGUUGCUGCGAAUCGGUGAUUCCCUUCACAGAUAAGCACUUUCGAGUUGUUGCGCUGAACCAUCUGUUUUGGAUGAAGUAUGCGCGAACGGUUGAUCCGUUAUCUCUACAGGUCAUGUACCUGGUAAGGCUCUUCUUUGAGAAAGGAAGAGCGAAUGAGGGUGGCACCGCGAAGCAAGCCUCUCGUCCCUCAC
rnacentral:ncRNA from 1 species